AUUGAACGCUGGCGGCAGGCCUAACACAUGCAAGUCGAACGAGUGGCGGACGGGUGAGUAAUGUCUGGGAAACUGCCCGUUGGAGGGGGAUAACUACUGGAAACGGUAGCUAAUACCGCAUACCAUCGGAUGUGCCCAUAUGGGAUGAGCUAGUAGGCGGGGUAACGGCUCAACUAGGCGACGAUCCCUAGCUUGUCUUAGUGGAGGACCAGCCACACUGGAACGAAGACACGGUCCAGACUCCUACGGGAGGCAGCAGGGGGGAAUAUUGCACAAUGGGCGCAAGCCUGAGGCAGCCGUACCGCGUGUAUGAAGAAGGCCUUCGGGUUGUAAAGUACUUUCAGCGAGGAGGCGUUACUCGCAGAAGAAGCACCGGCUAACUCCGUGCCAGCAGCCGCGGUAAUAC
rnacentral:rRNA from 1 species